GGUCGAGAGAUUCUCAACCCGCAGGUAGGGUAGGAUAGAGUUUUAAUAGAAUUUUCAACCUGCGGGUAGGGUUAAACCCUACCCUACCAUACCCAUUGCCAACCCUACUUCUGACUCUUCUUAUCAUCUGAACUCGGCUGCCGGCGCUUAUUGUCUGCCGCAGCCGGCUCUUAUUGUCUCAGCCGCAGCUGGCACCGGAGCAGGCAGCUGGCACUGCAGUUUCGUAUCUUCCGCCGCCACCACAAGUGUGUCUCGUCUCUGGUCGUAGCUUGCGCCUCUUUGGAUCGUAGUCACACCGCCGCUCUGUUCCGCCGUCUUUUGUUCUGCUGUCCGCCUUUCUUUGUCUUGACCAGCUCUGUUCUCUGGUACCCUCGCCUUUCCUCAAGCAAUGACACAAGGACGAGGCUUACAUUUGUCACAUUGAGAAAGUUGAAGGGGAGCUUUUCAUUGGAAGAAGCCAAAACCAAGAAACAAGUAUAAAUUGAAAAAACAACAUUUGCUGCACCCAAAUCUAAGGGAAGCAAAGGUUUUUUUUUUUUUUUCCAAAGUUAGGAGUGGACUCGAAUCUGUGAACCUCUAGGUGAGUAUGUGGAGUCAUUUGAUCUAUAGCUCGUUGGCCUGCAUCUAAGUUUUUGCUUGGGUUAGGGUUUGGUUUAUUAUUUUUGGGGCAACAAUGAAUUUUGAUACCGAAUGAAAAA